AAAAAGGCAAAUCCUGAGUUUUCGUGCCAACAUUUAACUGUCCGUCUUAUAUAAAUUUUUUUUAUGAUUAGUAUUUUUAUUGUUGUUAGAUGAUAAAACAUGAUUAAUACUUUAUGCGUGACUUAUCUUUUUAAUUUUUUUAUAAUUUUUUCAAAUAAGACGGACGGUCAAACAUUAAACACGGAAACCAGGGUUUGUCUUUUU
rfam:Oryza sativa (indica cultivar-group) chromosome 3, whole genome shotgun sequence.